rnacentral:rRNA from 1 species
CGCAUUCGCCCUUCGGGGUGCCCAGGCGCGAAAACUCCACACUGUACGACAGUACGAUGGGGUUAUCUCGAGUGCAGUCCGAUAAGGGCUGCUUUUCCAUAGAGUAAUAUCCUGUGGGAAUAAGAGGGGGGCAAGACUGGUGUCAGCCGCCGCGGUAACACCAGCCCCUCGAGUGGUGGGGACUAUUAUUUGGUCUAAAGCGUCCGUAGCUGGCUGUAUCCGUCCCCCGUUAAAUCCAGCGUCCUAAACGUUGGACUGCGGGUGAUACCGUACAGCUAGAGGGUGGGAUAGGUGAGCGGUAUUUCUGGGGUAGGGGCGAAAUCCUUUGAUCCCAGGAGGACCACCAGUGGCGAAGGCUGCUCACUAGAACACGCCUGACGGUCAGGGACGAAAGCUGGGGCAGCGAACCGGAUUAGAUACCCGGGUAGUCCCAGCUGUAAACGAUGCUAGCUAGGUGUUGGGUCGGCCACGCGCCGCCCCAGUGCCGCAGGGAAGCCGUUAAGCUUGCCACCUGGGGAGUACGAUCGCAAGGUUGAAACUUAAAGGAAUUGGCGGGGGAGCAC